GACGAACGCUGGCGGCGUGCUUAACACAUGCAAGUCGAACGGAAAGGCCCUGCUUUUGUGGGGUGCUCGAGUGGCGAACGGGUGAGUAACACGUGAGUAACCUGCCCUUGACUUUGGGAUAACUUCAGGAAACUGGGGCUAAUACCGGAUAGGAGCUCCUGCUGCAUGGUGGGGGUUGGAAAGUUUCGGCGGUUGGGGAUGGACUAGCGGCUUAUCAGCUUGUUGGUGGGGUAGUGGCUUACCAAGGCUUUGACGGGUAGCCCGCCUGAGAGGGUGACCGGCCACAUUGGGACUGAGAUACGGCCCAGACUCCUACGGGAGGCAGCAGUGGGGAAUAUUGCACAAUGGGCGGAAGCCUGAUGCAGCAACGCCGCGUGCGGGAUGACGGCCUUCUGGUUGUAAACCGCUUUCGCCUGUGACGAAGCGUGAGUGACGGUAAUGGGUAAAGAAGCACCGGCUAACUACGUG
rnacentral:rRNA from 1 species